CAUUGCUCCGUGUCCGCUUCUCUGGAGCAGCAGAAAACAACCUUUUUCCCUCCUCUAUGUGACAUCCUUUUAUAUAUUUGAACAUGGCUAUCAUAUCACCCCUUAACCUCCUCUUCUCCAGGCUAAACAUGCCCAGCUCCCUUAGCCGUUCCUCAUAAGGCAUCGUUUCCAGGCCUUUGACCAUUUUGGUUGCCCUCCUCUGGACCCGUUCCAGCUUGUCAGUGUCCUUCUUGAACUGUGGUGCCCAGAACUGGACACAGUACUCCAGGUGAGGUCUGACCAGAGCAGAAUACAGUGGCACUAUUACUUCCCUUGAUCUAUACUCCUAUUGAUGCAGCCCAGAAUUGCAUUGGCUUUUUUAGCUGCCGCGUCACACUGUUGGCUCAUGUCAAGUUUGUGGUCAACCAAGACUCCUAGAUCCUUUUCACAUGUACUGCUCUCAAGCCACC